UCCCGACACGGGGAGGUAGUGACAAAAAAUAUCGAUACAGGCCUCUUCGGAGGCGCUGUGAUCGGAAUGAGUACACUUUAAWWCCUUUAACGAGGAUCUACUGGAGGGCAAGUCUGGUGCCAGCAGCCGCGGUAAUUCCAGCUCCAGCAGCGUAUAUUAAAUUUGCUGCAGUUAAAAAGCUCGUAGUCGGAUCUCUGGUCGGGGCGGGCGGUCCGCCGCGAGGCGAGCACUGCCCGUGUGUCGGUCGGCCUUGACRGGCCUGGCACUCUCUCCGGCCAGCGAUUCGGUCGGUCGUGCGGUGCUCUUAGCUGAGUGCCGUGCGAGGCUGAAACGUUUACUUUGAGAAAAUUAGAGUGUUCAAAGCAGGCCAAAGUGCCCGAACAGCUCAGCAUAGAAUAGUGGAAGAGGACCUCGGCUCUAUUUCGUUGGUCUCUAGAACCUGAGGUAAUGAUCAAGAGGGACUGCCGGGGGCAUCCGUAUUGCGGCGUGAGAGGUGAAAUUCUUGGAUCGUCGCAAGACGCCCGACAGCGAAAGCAUUUGCCAAGAAUGUCUUCAUUGAUCAAGAACGAAAGUCGGAGGAUCGAAGGCGAUCAGAUACCGCCCUAGUUUCGACCAUAAACGAUACCGACCCGUAAUCCGCCGGCGUUCCUCCCAUGACGCGGCGGGCAACAUACCGGGAAACCAAAGUCUUUGGGUUCCGGGGGAAGUAUGGUUGCAAAGCUGAAACUUAAAGGAAUUGACGGAAGGGCACCACCAGGAGUGGAGCCUGCGGCUUAAUUUGACUCAACACGGGGAAACCUACCCGGCCCGGACACAGUGAGGAUUGACAGAUUGAGAGCUCUUUCUCGAUUUUGUGGAUGGUGGUGCAUGGCCGUUCUUAGUUGGUGGAGUGAUUUGUCUGGUUAAUUCUGAUAACGAACGAGACUCUGGCUUGCUAUAUAGUCCGGCCACCCGU
rnacentral:rRNA from 1 species